AGUGCAACUGCUGGGUCAUAUGGUGGCUGUAUGUUCAGUUUUUAAAAGAAACUACCAAACUGUUUUCCAGAGCAGUUGAUCCAUUUACAUUUCCACCAGCAGU
rnacentral:pre_miRNA from 1 species